UGCGUCUGCGCCCCCCUCCCAAGUCCUGGCCUCUGAGGGCGACCUUGCUCCGGGCUCCUGCGAGCUUCCAGCCUCCCAGGGUGCAGAAUCUGACACCCUCCCGCCACCGCCACCCCCACCCCUUGCCCGGCCCAGUGUGUUCCAGCGCCCCUGAGUGUGGCUGGGGCGGUUCUCUGUGAAGCACAGAUGCUCCCCGCUCCACACACACGCAGGGGAAGGAAUCCUGCCCAAGCACGCCUGUUCGCCAGAACAACUUGUGGUUGCAGCCAUCAGUGCCUGCCUGCCUGCCUGCCUGCCUGCCUCUCACCUGGGAGGUCAAGGUGAGCCCCGCAGAGAGAGAAAGCUCAUGGCUUCUCUAGAAGUGGGUGUGAUCAGGAACCAUCCAUCCCAGUGGUGGUGCUCACGCUGGAAGGUGACGUUGCUGCUACUGUUGGCCCAGGGACCGCACUGUGAGAAGCACUGCUCUAGAGGCCUGAGACUCCUGGGUGUGUGCCCCCUGCCCUGCCCCAGACUGGCUCCUCUGCAGGGUCCCCGGGGGUCUGGGAAACGCCAGGAGGGUGCCGGCUCUCGCGAGAUCUGGGGCUUCCCAUUGAGCAGCCAUCACCCUUCCCUGCCUGAGGAUGUGGUCCACAGCCUCGGCAGGAUCAGGUGUCAGGUUUGCGUAGGUGUUCAGCAGUUCCCGCAACAGUUCCCCGACUGGGGCUGAUAACAUCUGGACACUUAGGAGGGAGGGGCGGAGGCCUGGGCGUGGGCAUGGGAAGAACUCUCCGAUGAGGCAGAGGAAAAAGACCCGAACGCCAAGCUCGGGGAUGGGAAAGGAACACGGGCCCUGAGACCAAGAGUGUGGAUUUGGGGGAACGCGGAGACCCGAAAGGGGGUUGUCUGCCCGGGAACUGCCCUGACAGUUGUCUGGUCUGUGGGUGCGGCCAGCCCUCUCUAGCUGGUGGGAAGCCACUGCCUGCUUUCCUGCCAAACGUCCCUCACCACCAAGAGGAUCUCCCGGCUCCUGGGUGAUGCUGGCCAGACCUGCUCGACGCCCAGCGCCACCACCCACUGCUUCGGCCAGUCUGUGGUGGCUGGUCUUUGUUGGGCUCCAGGAUGGCCCGCCUUCCAGUUGGAGCCGCAGAACAAAUGCAAUGCCAGUCACCAGUCGCCAUGUGUGCCCGGAACCAGCAGCUCUGGGACCCCAGCACCCGAGCACGUUCUGGCUUUGGGAUCUGACCGGGGUGGGGGC